rnacentral:rRNA from 1 species
UGCAAGUAGAACGCACAGUUGAUACCGUAGCUUGCUACACCAUAGACUGUGAGUUGCGAACGGGUGAGUAACGCGUAGGUAACCUGCCUGGUAGCGGGGGAUAACUAUUGGAAACGAUAGCUAAUACCGCAUAAUAUUAAUUAUUGCAUGAUAAUUGAUUGAAAGGUGCAAUUGCACUACUACCAGAUGGACCUGCGUUGUAUUAGCUAGUAGGUGAGGUAACGGCUCACCUAGGCGACGAUACAUAGCCGACCUGAGAGGGUGAUCGGCCACACUGGGACUGAGACACGGCCCAGACUCCUACGGGAGGCAGCAGUAGGGAAUCUUCGGCAAUGGACGAAAGUCUGGCCGAGCAACGCCGCGUGAGUGAAGAAGGUUUUCGGAUCGUAAAGCUCUGUUGUAAGAGAAGAACGGGUGUGAGAGUGGAAAGUUCACACUGUGACGGUAUCUUACCAGAAAGGGACGGCUAACUACGUGCCAGCAGCCGCGGUAAUACGUAGGUCCCGAGCGUUGUCCGGAUUUAUUGGGCGUAAAGCGAGCGCAGGCGGUUAGAUAAGUCUGAAGUUAAAGGCUGUGGCUUAACCAUAGUACGCUUUGGAAACUGUUUAACUUGAGUGCAGAAGGGGAGAGUGGAAUUCCAUGUGUAGCGGUGAAAUGCGUAGAUAUAUGGAGGAACACCGGUGGCGAAAGCGGCUCUCUGGUCUGUAACUGACGCUGAGGCUCGAAAGCGUGGGGAGCGAACAGGAUUAGAUACCCUGGUAGUCCACGCCGUAAACGAUAAGUGCUAGGU